rnacentral:tRNA from 1 species
UCCCGUGUGGCUCAGUUGGUAGAGCAUGGUGUUUGCAAUGCCAUGGUUCUGGGUUCAAUUCCCACGGGGGAC